rnacentral:rRNA from 1 species
UACGUAGGGUGCGAGCGUUAAUCGGAAUUACUGGGCGUAAAGUGUGCGCAGGUGGCCGCGCAAGUCGAGUGUGAAAUCCCCGGGCUUAACUUGGGAAUUGCGCUCGAAACUACGUGGCUCGAGUGUGGCAGAGGAAGGUGGAAUUCCGCGUGUAGUGGUGAAAUGCGUAGAGAUGCGGAGGAAUACCAGUGGCGAAGGCGACUUCCUGGACCUUAACUGACGCUGAAGCGCGAAAGCAUGGGGAGCGAACGGG